UGGGGAAUUUUGGACAAUGGGCGCAAGCCUGAUCCAGCAAUGCCGCGUGCAGGAUGAAGGCCUUCGGGUUGUAAACUGCUUUUGUACGGAACGAAACGGUCUUUUCUAAUACAGAAGGCUAAUGACGGUACCGUAAGAAUAAGCACCGGCUAACUACGUGCCAGCAGCCGCGGUAAUACGUAGGGUGCAAGCGUUAAUCGGAAUUACUGGGCGUAAAGCGUGCGCAGGCGGUGAUGUAAGACAGAUGUGAAAUCCCCGGGCUCAACCUGGGAACUGCGUUUGUGACUGCAUCACUCGAGUACGGCAGAGGGAGGUGGAAUUCCGCGUGUAGCAGUGAAAUGCGUAGAUAUGCGGAGGAACACCGAUGGCGAAGGCAAUCCCCUGGGCCCGCACUGACGCUCAUGCACGAAAGCGUGGGGAGCAAACA
rnacentral:rRNA from 1 species